GGCUGUCGUCAGCUCGUGUCGUGAGAUGUUCGGUUAAGUCCGCUACGAGCGCAACCCUCGCUGUGUGUUACAAGUGUCACACGGUCUGCCGGUCUUAAGCCGGAGGAAGGUGGGGAUGACGUCAAGUCAGCAUGGCCUUUAUGUCCUGGGCUACACACACGCUACAAUGGCCAACACAAUAGGUUGCUAAGCCGCGAGGUGGAGCCAAUCCUCAAAGUUGGUCUCAGUUCAGAUUGCAGGCUGCAACCCGCCUGCAUGAAGAUGGAGUUGCUAGUAACCGCAGGUCAGCUAUACUGCGGUGAAUACGUUCCCGGGGCUU
rnacentral:rRNA from 1 species